rnacentral:rRNA from 1 species
UACGAAGGGGGCUAGCGUUGCUCGGAUUGACUGGGCGUAAAGGGCGCGUAGGCGGUUUGCAUAGUCAGACGUGAAAUUCCUGGGCUUAACCUGGGGGCUGCGUUUGAUACAUGCAGGCUUGAGUUCGGAAGAGGGUCGUGGAAUUCCCGGUGUAGCGGUGAAAUGCGCAGAUAUCGGGAAGAACACCCGUGGCGAAGGCGGUUCUCUGGGACGGUACUGGACGCUGAGACGCGAAAGCGUGGGGAGCGAACAGG